AGAGUUUGAUCCUGGCUCAGAACGAACGCUGGCGGCGCGUUUUAAGCAUGCAAGUCGAGCGGCAAGGGCCUUCGGGCCCCUAGAGCGGCGGACGGGUGAGUAACACGUGGACAAUCUGCCCCCCGGCCCGGGAUAGCCCAGGGAAACCUGGAUUAAUACCGGAUGAGACGGGACCCGCGAUGGCGGGACCCGGGAAAGGCGCUGCGGCGCCGCCGGGGGAUGAGUCUGCGUCCCAUUAGCUAGACGGCGGGGUAACGGCCCACCGUGGCGACGAUGGGUAGCCGGCCUGAGAGGGUGGACGGCCACAUUGGAACUGAGACACGGUCCAGACUCCUACGGGAGGCAGCAGCUAAGAAUCUUCCGCAAUGGGCGAAAGCCUGACGGAGCGACGCCGCGUGAACGAAGAAGGCCGUGAGGUUGUAAAGUUCUUUUCGGGAGGGGGAACAACCGUGGCAGGGAAUGGCCGCGGGAUGACGUGAAUCCCGGAAUAAGCCCCGGCUAACUACGUGCCAGCAGCCGCGGUAACACGUAGGGGGCGAGCGUUGUUCGGAAUCAUUGGGCGUAAAGGGCGUGCAGGCGGUCGUGCAAGUCCGGCGUGAAAGACCCCGGCCCAACCGGGGGGACGCGCUGGAAACUGCAGGGCUUGAGUACAGGAGGGGAUGCCGGAAUUCCAGGUGUAGGGGUGAAAUCUGUAGAUAUCUGGAAGAACACCAAUGGCGAAGGCAGGCAUCUGGCCAUGUACUGACGCUGAGACGCGAAGGUGCGGGGAGCAAACAGGUUUAGAUACCCUGGUAGUCCGCACAGUAAACGAUGUGCACCAGGUGGCGGGGGGUCGACCCC
rnacentral:rRNA from 1 species